rnacentral:rRNA from 1 species
GACGAACGCUGGCGGCGUGCUUAACACAUGCAAGUCGAACGGUAAGGCCCUUCGGGGUACACGAGUGGCGAACGGGUGAGUAACACGUGGGUGAUCUGCCCUGCACUUCGGGAUAAGCCUGGGAAACUGGGUCUAAUACCGGAUAGGACUCCUGGCUUCAUGGUUGGGGGUGGAAAGCUUUUGCGGUGUGGGAUGGGCCCGCGGCCUAUCAGCUUGUUGGUGGGGUAAUGGCCUACCAAGGCGACGACGGGUAGCCGGCCUGAGAGGGUGACCGGUCUCACUGGGACUGAGAUACGGCCCAGACUCCUACGGGAGGCAGCAGUGGGGAAUAUUGCACAAUGGGCGCAAGCCUGAUGCAGCGACGCCGCGUGAGGGACGACGGCCUUCGGGUUGUAAACCUCUUUCAGCUAUGACGAAGCGCAAGUGACGGUAGUAGCAGAAGAAGGACCGGCCAACUACGUGCCAGCCGCCGCCGUAACAC